rnacentral:misc_RNA from 1 species
GAUGAAGAAACGCAGCGAAAUGCGAUAAGUAAUGUGAAUUGCAGAAUUCAGUGAAUCAUCGAAUCUUUGAACGCACCUUGCGCCCCUUGGUAUUCCGAGGAGCAUGCCUGUUCGAGUGUCAUGUAACUCUCAAACCGCAUCUUUCGUGGAUGCGGGCUUGGACCUGGACGUUGCGGGAUCCCUCGGGAUUCGGCUCGUCUCAAAUGCAUUAGCCGAUUUCGUUAGACUUUGGUUCUCGGUGUGAUAAUCACGUCUACGCCGAAGCCCCUCAAAAAGGCGCCGAGUCCGAUAGAACGGCUUACAAUCGUCUUCGGACAACAUUCUGACAUCUGGCCUCGAAUCAGGUAGGACUACCCGCUGAACUUAAGCAUAUCAAUAAGCGGAGGA